GUGCCUUUAGCUCAACAGGCAGAGCAUCCGGUUGAAGCCCGGAGGAUGCAGGUUCGAUUCCUGCGGGGUGCACCG
rnacentral:tRNA from 2 species